ensembl:lncRNA
GGUUAGAGGAGGCAGGUAGCCUAGUGGUUAGAGGAGGCAGGUAGUCUGGUGGUUAGAGGAGGCAGGUAGUCUAGUGGUUAGAGGAGGCAGGUAGCCUAGUGGUUAGAGGAGGCAGGUAGCCUAGUGGUUAGAGGAGGCAGGUAGCCUGGUGAGCCUUGCAGUCUUAGACUGGCUAACACUUGUUCUCAAUGUGUGUGUGUGUGUGUGUGUGUGUGUGUGUGUGUGUGUGUGUGUGUGUGUGUGUGUGUGUGUGUGUGUGUGUGAGUGUGUACAGUAGGGUGUUUCCUGUGAAUGACGUCUGUAAAACACACUGCUUUGUGAUGGCUCCCUUCAUGUGGUUCCCUUCCUACAGUUAUUAG